ensembl:miRNA microRNA 125a
UGCCGGCCUCUGCGUCCCUGAGACCCUUUAACCUGUGAGGACGUCCAGGGUCACAGGUGAGGUUCUUGGGAGCCUGGCGUCCGGCC